UACGGGGGGAGCAAGCGUUGUUCGGAUUUACUGGGCGUAAAGGGCGCGUAGGCGGCCAGCACAAGUCAGUUGUGAAAUCUCCGAGCUUAACUCGGAACGGUCAACUGAUACUGUGCGGCUAGAGUGCGGAAGGGGCAACUGGAAUUCUUGGUGUAGCGGUGAAAUGCGUAGAUAUCAAGAGGAACACCUGCGGCGAAGGCGGGUUGCUGGGCCGACACUGACGCUGAGGCGCGAAAGCUAGGGGAGCGAAUGGG
rnacentral:rRNA from 1 species